rfam:Salmo salar isolate Sally breed double haploid chromosome ssa29, whole genome shotgun sequence.
UGGUUAGAGUAUUGGGCAAGUAAGUCGCUCUGGAUAAGAGCGUCUGCUAAAUGACGUAAA